AUUAAGCAAGGCUAAAAAAAUGAGUACCAGCACAGCCGUUUUGGAGCACUGUGAAAAUUCCAUAGAUCGACUAGUAUCGUCUUAGCGAAAACUAGGAGUAACGCAAAUUCAGACAUUCUCAACGGUCCAGAUCGACGAUAACAUGCGUCAGAAAACAAAACAAUUGUGCUACGGUAUGAUUUACGGUAUGGGGACGAGGACUCUUGCGGAAACUAUUGCUAUUACCGAACGAGAAGCUAAGAUAGUUUUGGAAUCAUUCAUGGGCGCUUUUAUCCAGAAAUCUGUCAAUGGCUAACUCGAGUGAUUGAGCAAACUUGUACCGACGGUUACGUAACAACUUUGAUGUCACGUCGCAGAUUUCUUCCGGCGCUCAAAAAAGAAAAAUCCAGUAAAAGAUGCGCCAGCAUUUCUAUGGAGGAAAUGUCAGUAAAUCAAGUUGAGGCUAAAGAGAAUCAGCUUUGAUUUGUAGCAGCGGCUUCCAUGGUGAAGGCCAAGAACUACAUACAAAGCGGUAUAUUGAACAAUUUUUUCCAUCCAGCGGAACAAUCAUCCUGAGCGCUGCAAUUUGGACACUCAGGUGAAUCAAGCCAUCACUAAAAUGUCAAGAAUAUCUUUUGGAAAAGGCAAUAGUUUUCAAACAAAUAUAAUAUUCUACUUUUUAUUCUUUUUCUUCGAAAAGAAAAAAAAUUGAUAUCCAAAAUACGCAAGCAUGUUUACAGAUGAAAUCGCAGUGGAUGAAUUUGAUGCUGAAGAGAAUUCAACUUUGAUUGCAGCAGCGGCUUUCAUGGUAUAAAAGCGAAGAACUCGAAAGUGGUGGAUUGAACAAUUUUUCCUAUCCAGCAGAACAAAUCAAUCCUGAGUGCUGCAAUUUUAAACCCUCAAGUGAAUCAAGUCUUCGUUAGAAUGUUCAAAAGAAAUUUUGGAAAAGGUAAAAGUGAAAAAAAUAAAGUGCGUAUGAAGAAAUUUGUAGGAAAAAGGAAUCGGAAAUAGCACCGGUCUUGAACAGU
rnacentral:lncRNA from 1 species